GUCCCAGUAGCGAAAUUGAUAGCGCGUUGGACUUCUAAUCCAAAGGUCGUGGGUUCGAAUCCCACCUGGGAUG
rnacentral:tRNA from 1 species